rnacentral:rRNA from 1 species
CCGGAGCAAACCUACGACCCGUCCUUUUUUGGACCCGUUAUUUGGGGAUCCCCUCUAAGGGGACACGUGUACGUUGGGGAGGGUGGUGCACCCUCUACAAGGGUAACGGGUCCCUAUGAAAGCUUGUUCUACCCGGUGUUUCGUUGUUAGUGCAGGAUGAGGCCAGAAAAGAGGUGAGGAAGGAGCUGUAGUACAUGGUGUUGAACUACGACCGACUUACUGUUUUUCUUUAUUCAAUCGAUCGUAGUCAAGUCUUAGAGUGUUGUGAUAAAACAUCAUAUUCUUUUGAU